rnacentral:rRNA from 1 species
AACGAACGCUGGCGGCAUGCCUAACACAUGCAAGUCGAACGAGACCUUCGGGUCUAGCGGCGCACGGGUGCGUAACGCGUGGGAACCUGCCCUUAGGUUCGGAAUAACUCCCCGAAAGGGGUGCUAAUACCGGAUAAUGUCUUCGGACCAAAGAUUUAUCGACUUUGGGUGGGCCCGCGUUGGAUUAGCUAGUUGGUAGGGUAAAAGCCUACCAAGGCGACGAUCCAUAGCUGGUCUGAGAGGAUGAUCAGCCACACUGGGACUGAGACACGGCCCAGACUACUACGGGAUGCAGCCGAGGGGAAUAUUGGACAAUGGGCUAAAGCAUGAUGCAGCAAUGCCGCGUAAGUGAUGAAGGCCUUAGGGUUGUAAAGCUCUUUUAACCGGGAUGAUAAUGACAGUACCGGGAGAAUAAGCGCCGGCUAACUCCGUG